UUUGUCAUGGGAAAUCGCAAAAGAGUUUAUUCAUCGUCAUCCGACGACGCUUCAAGAGCUGUUGUUCCUAGUUCUUAAGUUAUUUCGAAACAAAAAAGGUCAUCUGACGACUUAGAAGAUGAGCUACAGCAACAGAAGAAACCGCAGUGUGAAUCAAUUGUAGUUGACUCGUCUCCUUCCUAUGGCUAUGAAGAAUCUAUAGCUCGUCAAGACCGAUUUACAGAGUGUCAUCCCACCCAGUUUUUUGACGACAUCUAUGACAACAACGAUCAAUCGUCAUUUAUUGGAUUCAUGGGAGAAGAUGACUGGCGUAGCGCUACAAAUUCCUCUCAGCCAGGUGAGGGCACAAGUGCUAAUGCUGCUGUUGCUCAAACCAGAAAUAAACGUGAUGUUGCUGUUUCUGUCUUCGACAAGAGCCAACGAUUAUCCGCAAGUAACAAAA